AGUGAACGCUGGCGGUAGGCCUAACACAUGCAAGUCGAACGGCAGCACAGGAGAGCUUGCUCUCUGGGUGGCGAGUGGCGGACGGGUGAGGAAUACAUCGGAAUCUACUCUGUCGUGGGGGAUAACGUAGGGAAACUUACGCUAAUACCGCAUACGACCUACGGGUGAAAGCAGGGGAUCUUCGGACCUUGCGCGAUUGAAUGAGCCGAUGUCGGAUUAGCUAGUUGGCGGGGUAAAGGCCCACCAAGGCGACGAUCCGUAGCGGGUCUGAGAGGAUGCUCAGCCACACUGGAACUGAGAAACGGUCCAGACUCCUACGGGAGGCAGCAGUGGGGAAUAUUGGACAAUGGGCGCAAGCCUGAUCCAGCCAUACCGCGUGGGUGAAGAAGGCCUUCGGGUUGUAAAGCCCUUUUGUUGGGAAAGAAAUCCAGCUGGCUAAUACCCGGUUGGGAUGACGGUACCCAAAGAAUAAGCACCGGCUAACUUCGUGCCAGCCGCCGCCGUAA
rnacentral:rRNA from 1 species